rnacentral:rRNA from 1 species
CCCUGGCUCAGGACGAACGCUGGCGGCGUGCCUAAUACAUGCAAGUCGAGCGGAUUUAUCCUUCGGGAUAAGUUAGCGGCGGACGGGUGAGUAACACGUAGGUAACCUGCCUAUAAGAUCGGGAUAACUAUCGGAAACGAUAGCUAAGACCGGAUAAUUGGUUUUCUCGCAUGAGAGAAUUAUGAAACACGGAGCAAUCUGUGGCUUAUAGAUGGGCCUGCGGCGCAUUAGCUAGUUGGUAGGGUAACGGCCUACCAAGGCGACGAUGCGUAGCCGACCUGAGAGGGUGAACGGCCACACUGGGACUGAGACACGGCCCAGACUCCUACGGGAGGCAGCAGUAGGGAAUCUUCCGCAAUGGACGCAAGUCUGACGGAGCAACGCCGCGUGAGUGAUGAAGGUUUUCGGAUCGUAAAGCUCUGUUGCCCUAGACGAACAGCAAGAGGAGUAACUGCCUUUUGUGUGACGGUAUAGGAGAAGAAAGCCCCGGCU